rnacentral:rRNA from 1 species
GACGAACGCUGGCGGCGUGCUUAACACAUGCAAGUCGAACGGCAAGGCCCUGCUUUUGUGCGGUGCUCGAGUGGCGAUCGGGUGCGUAACACGUGAGUAACCUGCCCUUGACUUUGGGAUAACUUCAGGUAACUGGGGCUAAUAUCGGAUCGGAGCUCAUGCUGCAUGGUGGGGGUUGGAACGUUUCGGCGGGUGGGGAUGGACUCGCGGCUUACGAGCUUGCUGGUGGGGUAGUCGCUUACCCAGGGUUUGACGGGUCGCCGGCCUGUGAGGGGGGCCGGCGUCAAGACGCCUACGAGACGGCGCAGACGCGUACGGUAGACAACAGGGGCGAGUAUGGCACAGUGGGCGGAAGCCUGAUGCGGCAACGCUGCGUGCGGGAAGACGGCUUGCGGGUUGUGAACCGCUUUCGCCUGUGACGAAGCGGGAGUGACGGUAAUGAGUAAAGAAGCACCGGCUAACUACGUG